GUCAGCAUUGCUAGCACUACCUCUCUGUGUUGUACGACCCAAGCAGGAUGCGGGCUGGGAAGGAAAAGGUCUGUAUGCAAGUCAUAUAUAAACUGCAGCUUAGGCCCAUAUGCACAGAAUUGGUCAUGUUUCUGGGCAUGCAAUAUCAUUUAUGUGUGUUUGUGCUCGCUGGAUCAGUGCUGCACCAUCACGGGUCUGUUCUCAUCAGUGCCACACAGGCAGGCUUCUGCUGGAUUUCACUGCUUCUGGCCAGAGCAAUUGACAAAGCAGCUUAUGGUCUUCCAAGAUGAAAGGCUGCUGGAAAUGUGCCACACCUGUGAUUUCCCUGCAAGCUUCUUUUCAGCCUGCUUCCUUGCCCUCCAUAUACCACUGCUGCCUCCUACAGUUGGAGAAAGACACUUUCAGGGAGUGGAGUGAUAGGACAAGGGGAAAUAGCUUCGGACUAAAAGAAGGGAGCAAACAUUUCACCCAACUCUAGCAAACAAGAGCAGCCAAGAAACAGAGCCCAGCUUUGGACAGGAUCUAUUCCAAGAAAUUACUGCUGGUUUACACAGCCCAAAGCAAGCUUGAAAGCAGGAAUCAGCUUAGUGAAACUUCCUGCACAGAAUCUCUAAAUGACCACGUGCAGCUGCUGGGGUAUAUGCUCUGUACCCCAUCCUCCUCUGCUGGGGAUGAAGCAGUAGAAAUGAACGGGAAGUGACUGGCAGAGACAUCCUUGUGUGGGUGAGAGCUAAAUCUCAGUCUAAAUAAACACUUCCCUGAAAAAAAA